GACGAACGCUGGCGGCGCGCCUAACACAUGCAAGUCGAACGAGCGAGAGAGAGCUUGCUUUCUCAAGCGAGUGGCGAACGGGUGAGUAACGCGUGAGGAACCUGCCUCAAAGAGGGGGACAACAGUUGGAAACGACUGCUAAUACCGCAUAAGCCCACGGCUCGGCAUCGAGCAGAGGGAAAAGGAGCAAUCCGCUUUGAGAUGGCCUCGCGUCCGAUUAGCUAGUUGGUGAGGUAACGGCCCACCAAGGCGACGAUCGGUAGCCGGACUGAGAGGUUGAACGGCCACAUUGGGACUGAGACACGGCCCAGACUCCUACGGGAGGCAGCAGUGGGGAAUAUUGCACAAUGGGGGAAACCCUGAUGCAGCGACGCCGCGUGGAGGAAGAAGGUCUUCGGAUUGUAAACUCCUGUUGUUGAGGAAGAUAAUGACGGUACUCAACAAGGAAGUGACGGCUAACUACGUG
rnacentral:rRNA from 1 species